rnacentral:other from 16 species
CACGGCGUUAGUACGAGUGUCGUGCAGCCUCCAGCGCCCCCCCUCCCGGGAGAGCCAUAGUGGUCUGCGGAACCGGUGAGUACACGCGAAUCGCCGGGGUGACCGGGUCCUUUCUUGGAACAACCCGCUCAAUACCCGGAAAUUUGGGCGUGCCCCCGCGAGAUCACUAGCCGAGUAGUGUUGGGUCGCGAAAGGCCUUGUGG